rnacentral:lncRNA from 1 species
CAGUCUCUCCUUCCCUCCCCCUACAGUCUCUCCUUCCCUCCCCCUACAGUCUCUCCUUCCCUCCCCCUACAUCUCUCCUUCCCUCCCCCUACAGUCUCUCCUCUCCCUCCCCCUACAGUCUCUCCUUCCCUCCCCCUACAGUCUCUCCUCCCCUCCCCCUACAGUCUCUCCACUCCCUCCCCCUACAGUCUCUCCUCCCCUCCCCCUACAGUCUCUCCUCCCCUCCCCCUACAGUCUCUCCUUGCCUCCCCCUACAGUCUCUCCUCCCCUCCCCUACAGUCUCUCCCCUCCCUCUAUGCUGUCCAUCUCUCUCCCCUCUCCUCCUCUCUCC